CUGAAGUUCAUUCUUUAAGAUGUACUCCAU
rnacentral:piRNA from 1 species